UUAAAAAUAGUUCGGGAUGUGCGUCGCCAGUGUUGCGUUAGUUGGAAAGAACACAGGACCUAUUUUAAACAGAUUGAUACCAUGAUGUAUCGAAAUACGAGUUUCUAAGCUUUUGUUUUAAUUUUGGACACUUAAUAUUGUUAAACAGAACUUUUUUAUAGACUGGACGAUAACCGAUUCAAUUCAUUUUAGUUUUAAUUCGAGGAAAUUUGAUAGAAAAGAACAAUUUUUGACAAUCCAAGAUGGCGCCCACAGAAAUCUCCGUAAACGAAUCUUCAGUUGUGCUGAAUUUACUGCGUCGCGUACGAACAAAGAAAAGAACUGUAAAUGGGAAAGAUUUUCAAUAUCGGGCGAAAGCUCUAUUACAGUCCACGGAGUUGAAGUUAUUAUUGGAUCUACAAAAACUUGGUAAAAAAUUGGCGAAACGGGAAGGUGAAAAUGUCGGAAAAGAAAUAUCGGUUAUUGAUGAGGGUAACAUAAAAUCAGGUGGUAACGACGAUAUUUUAUCUUUAAAUUCAUUUUUUGAGAAGCUUUAUAAUUCAUAGUAUUCAUUUAAUUGACCGUUUAAAAGUUUUCCCACCAAACGUGUUCACAAUUUCGCGAUAUGUAUUUGUUAUAUUUUGUUAGUUUUUGAAUAAAAUAUGUUAUUUAUUAUAUACUUGGUUGCAUCGUCAAUUUAAAUCAUAUAUAUAUUAUUUUAUCAGCUUUCAAGCCUUCAUGAAGACUGGCCAAUAUGUCCAAGUUUGUGUAUAGAGAAGUGUAGGAAGCUUUAUCCAUGUUAUCUGCUUGCCGUCCAUUCUAUAAUUUUCCACACAGUCCAAAGGAAAUAUUGUGGGAUGACAUGGUCUCCAUUCAAGAGUAUUUUUGAGAUAAGUUGGUCGCCAACAAGAUCUGAUUACUCACAGUUCACUGGUCCUAUGUGUAUUUGUGCCACUGACGGGUGUGAUACUGUACAUGUUGCUUGUAUAAGAAGGUUGGAUUCCUGCUUUUGUUCGGGUUUUCAACGUGAAAAUCAGUAAGAUAAAGUAUGAAUUCAUUUUUUUUUUAAAUAUUUUAUUUUUACCAUAAUUGCAACAGUUGAAAGAGACGAUGAAUGUUGAAACUUUAUUUAAAAAGUGUAUACAAGGGAUUUCAUAAAUAGACAGUUCCAAUUGCUUGCCAUGAAGAGAUGACUAUUAACCAAGGGAUUGAGGGAGGAAUGCCUUUAAAGGUUCAAGUCUUGCUGCAGUUGACUUUAAAAGCCUGAAUGUUCAAAUGAACAAUUACUUGUCCUAUAAAAGUAUGCAGUCUUUACUCUGAAGCAAGAAUCUUUACAUGUUGGUAAACAAGACUGGAUUUCUUUCAUAGACUUGGUACUUUGUUCUUCCUAUAGCUGUGUCAUGGCAACAUGGGAUGAAAGACUGGGUUUUCCUUAAACUGUUAAGAAAAUGAACAACAUGCAUAACUGAUGUUGAAAUAACUGGUAGUUUAUACAAGUAAAAAUUUAGUACUAGUUUGUGUCAUUUAUCAACUAAUGAGCAGUGGUUUGUAAUGUAUCAGUCAUUUUUUUUUUAACAUUUAUUUAUCGUUUUCAAGCUGUAUGAAAAUUUGACAAGAAAAGAAUUAGGAUAUGUAAAAUCCAUUAUUGAAAAAUUUUGAAUUAAGUGGAAUUAUAUCAAACAUUGAGAUUACUUCCUCCUGUUCCAUAUUGAGUUUAAAUAAUGUAAAAUUUGCUUUGGGGGAUUUUCACAUUUUCAAUAUACAUGUACAUGUAGAUAAUUUUUAUGUUCUUCAAAGCAUGGUAUGAUAGCAAUGUUUUUCAGCUAACUCCACCUGGAAUGUACAAUUGAAGAUUUCAAAAUUGUAGACCUCUUUGUACGAAUGUAUUAAACUUUUAUUCAUUUUCAUUUCCUUUGGGGAAAGGUGACUGAAACCAAAGAGGAGGCCAAAUAAUAACCUUGCACAGCACUUAAUAAGUAUUGCAAUUCAACUUGACUUGACACGAGAAAAUUCUUCAAUUUACUGCUCAAGAGUCCAUUCAUACGGUAUUACCAAAGACUUGAAUUUGCAACAUUAUUCCUAACUGGGUUCUGUCUUCGCCUUCAAAGUAGUGACGGGGAAGAGUUAAAAAGUGGACUACGAUGCAUCAUCCAGUACGACACUUGUUGGCUGUCCUCAAUCAUUUGGUUUCUUUUGAAUGAACAAUUUGUCUGCUGAAAUAAGAUAAAACCUGGAAGGUAAAAGUAAGGUACAUGUUGUUUGUGUGUAAAUUGACCAGAUAUUUCACUCAUUAAUGAAAUAAUAUUUUUAAACACGAUGAUUCACAAUUGAAAAUCAACAUUGAAACAGAUUUUAAAUUGCAAGUAAGAUGUGUUCCUCGUUCAAAAAUUUAGAUAAGUGCAGUUGAUGCUAUUUUUUUUCUCCUACAUCAAAUUACCAAUACAUAUUCUUUUAAAUGCUCAACCUCAGAACUAGUAUUGAUCCAAAGUGGUGUAAGGGUGGUUAAAAAAUGAAAGUAAGAAAUGCAGAAAUUCAUUUAUUGCCUUGGCAAAAUGGAAAGCCAGAGGACUUUCUAGAAACAAAGUGUGAAUUGAGAGAAGUAAAUAUUUUAUAAAACAUUAUUUUUGGCUUUGUAACAAAAUAUAUGGAAAAGCCUUUGAAAACUCUCCAUUUAAAAUAGUAUGUCAUUUGCCAGAACUUUCACCUGUGUAUCACAUAGAGUUAUUAUAACCUUUGACCUUCAUAAGACUUUAUUACAGUCCACACAUUCUUAAGGAUGAAGUACACGUUAGUAUACAAUAGCUGAAUAUUUACAUAAGACUUGAUGAACUCGUGCUGUUGUUUAGAGAAGGUGAAAGACUGUUGGUCCUUGAUGUACCCUUGCUGUUGAUAACAGAAAGGUGAAAGGCUGUUGUUCGUCCUAAAAGUUUUAACCAGAAUUUGAUGAGUUCGGUUUGUAGAGAUUUUGAAUUUAUAUGUUAUUUGUACUGUAUCUGAUUGAGGAUAGACUGAUAAAAAACAUUUUAAAUUUCAAAUAGCAAUUCCAUUUUGUCAAUUGACACAUGCACACCUAGCAACAAAAAAAAAUCAAAUUUAUGUCGGUCUCUCUAAAUUUAAAAAUUAGUUUUAAAAGCUUAUAACUAUCCUGGUUUUUUAUAAAUAAAAAAAAUUCUUAAAUGAAGCUGAUUUGGUCAAAAGACCACCUGUUAAUAGUAAUUCUACAUACAGAGAUCACCACUGAAAAAUUGCAAGGAUGGCACUGAUAUUGUUGUACCUUUCGACACAACAAUUGAAACUUUAUCUUUCUAAAUUGAUGAAUAUUCAAUGUAGUCUUCAUGAAAUAGUUUUUUAACUUGAGGUAAUAUAAAUUAUAAUCCAAAUAAAAAGGUUUGUGCUGAGCAAGUCUUUGAGGAGUACCACUCUUGCAUAUCAUAUGGUGAUCCCUGUACACGUCGAAACUAGAUUUGUAUUAAACCUUACUUUUGAAAUAACAUAUUUGAAUUGCAGCAUAAUUUAUAAAACUUCAGAAAAUGAUGUAAUAUGUGAAGAGCUCUUGUGUCUCCAUUACUGUCUUUUCUCUUUUAAUCUGUGGGAAUUACCUAGUUGCAGCCAGCCAUAAACUCUGCUUGCAUAAUUAUCCAGAGUAGACUAAUCCAAAGGUUGAAAGCUUCUGCCAUUGACAUGUCCACACUGGCUUAUUUAUUGUCCUCAACAUUAUGAAGUGCAGAUGUAUGUAGUCCCAUCCAAUAUAAGCUUUUCCACAACUCUCCUAGAGGAAGGUUGAGUCCCAGACUUUUAUUUGGUGCUGCCUGCUUCCUGCUGAAAUUUAUAAUAGAAUGAGACAUGAAGGUAAACUCAGAGUUUUGUUUGUGUUCAGUAAUGAGUCAUUAGACUAUAUAAUUUGUUCAAUAGAGAUAAUUUUUCACUGAAAAGAAUAUUUUAUAUGAUCAUUUUCAAAACACUUCAAUAUUUAAUGAGAUGUAUAAUUUAGAAAAAAUGGUGCAAGUGUACUAUUUCUUUUCUUUCUUAAAUAACUACUGACACCUGGAUUUCAAAGUCUGGGAGGAACUGUGCUGUCGAAAAAUUUGAAGUUGCAGACACUUUGUUCUGAUUUUUUCCCUUACAAUUAUGGAUCAGUUGAUACAAGUGAAGUGAUUGCAGUGCAGUAAAGCAAAAAAUUGUGUGACCUGUUCUUGACCCAUGGCCAUCUCCAUGUUUCCAAUGAUCUAUAUGGAAGAUUUCAUGGAUCCACACUUUGUUGUUUGGUUUUGUUUAUUGAGGACACAUAAUUGACUUCAUGAACCCCCGAAGACUGUCCAGUAGAAUGAAGGCUUGAAGGUACAAUACUGAUAAAUGAAGAUUUAACACCAUGGUGAAAAACUUAACUAGCUCAAAAGCAGGUACCCUUAAUAAUUGUUCAGUUUGUUGCUGUUAUAAGGAGAGAUCUACAGAUCCUUCAUAGUAUUCAUCUUGAAGUGUAUACCAAAAAAAAAUGAGUCGUCAACCCAUCUAAUUAAAAAAUAAAUCCUAUGUCCAUGCUUCGCUUGCAAUGGUCUUGACAAUUUUUUACUCUCCAUUCUGAUAACAACAACCAAUGGAAUGUCUGCCUCCAAUUUUUUAAGGUGUGUACCAUCACUACAAAAGCUAAGGAUCGUGAAUGGUUGUUUAAACAGAAAGUAGAAUGGAGAAUUUUCAGAUCCUUAAGUGCAGUAUGGACAGGGAUCUGUAUUUUAAUCAGAUUUACAAGUCAACAAAAAAAAAAAUACCAUCAAAAACAGAAUUAUUACACAUGAUAUACAAGAAAAAGAUCCACACACUGAAGUUGUAAGCAUGUCAUUGACGCAUUUUAUUGCUACCUUGAAAGCAAAUAAAAAAAAAAUCGGAUGCCUGUUCUUCAUAGUAAAUAUUACUGUCCUGAAUGAGCUACAUGUAGAUUUAUGACCCAAUGUUCAGUAAGUGUAAUGGCAUCUUCACAAAAAAUAUCACACAAGUGUCAAUUUAUUCAGCUUAUCAGGAAGUUAAUGUUUUCAAAGUUACCAUUUAUGUUAAUUUUACAUUAAAUAAAUAUCUAGUAAAUCAAAAGGUAAAUUUCUUAAAAUUAUAAUUUCUGCAGGUUUUAUUUAGUCAAAAUAGACUGGAAUUAAUUAUGCAGAUAGCAUUUUGAACACACUAACAUUUUCAUAAACUAAAAAUAUGACACUUCUGUUGUAAAUUUUGUCUAAAAUUACAUUUUAUUGGUAAACUUUCAAAAUCGCACAGAUAGGGUUGAGGCUGCGUUCAUGAAUCUGCCUUCCAAUUUGUUGGUAAAAAAAACCUUAUGCAUGUAAUAUUUGCCACGAAAUGUUUUAAUAACAUUCCAUCUUAUCUUUCGGUCCAAUAUGUAAAAAAAAAACCAUAAUUCAUAGUUUGGACAUUUUGAACUUCACAAGGUUUCCUCUUAUUUGUAUAAAAUGACAUGAGCAUUGUGAUUUUCUUUGUUGUGGUAGCUUUAAUUUUUUGGCUCUUAAUUUAAGUCUUGAUCAGUGAACUUCAAUAAAGAGCACCUUUCUGUCAACUGUAAAUUAAAUUCUCCAUGAAUUUUAGAUGUGGUAUUUAUGUCAAUCAGACAACAAUGUUGAAGGUUUAAGGUGGCUAUUAAAGUAUCUGCGUUUUCAUCUUGGAGAAAUCAUCAUUAGUUUGGUACUGGUAUGCAGACAAGGAGUUGAUUGAUGUUCAUUAUAUUCAUACAUUCAUAGUUGCUCAAUAGAGGCACAAAUAUUGGCCUGUAUUCCACAUUGUGACCACAUGCAGCAACAAAAACAUGUACACAGAUCUGGUACUGGAAAUGAAAAGUAAGAUAAGCCUCGGAUUUGCUACUUAAUUCAAAAGGCCAAUGUGGGACUUUGGGAUACACACAACUUUAUUAUAUAAUUAUUUAUAAUCCUUAUUUUUGAUGUUUGCCACCAAAUUUGGUAAUAACCAUUUUUUUUGUGAACAUUGCAAAUGUUGAGAUAAUUGUGACAAAAACUUGAAACACGUCAUCCUAUAGGGUCAACUGGAAAAGACCAAUUCCAUCUAAACUUUUGUCUAACACAUUAUUAUGAACAAGUCUCGCAGAAAAACAUGGUCAAGAACUGAUCCAUUUGGAAAUGUAGUAAAAAGUAGAGUGAAAUUCACUAAGGGUGCGAUUUAUUGGGCUAUUUUAAGGGAAGAGGGUCAUGGGCAUAUAUCUAGGUGAGCAUUACCAGCUCAGAGCCUCUUUGCUGUUAAGAAGAAAGUGCAGGUUAUGUUGGGAUUGCCAAUAGUUUGAAUAACAUCUGUCAUUCCAUCUCCAGAAACCAAAAGGCACUUUCAGGAAGUAAUAUAUUUUGAAAGUACAGAGUGAAAAAAAAAACACCUGUUGAUACAAAUAAAAGCACUCAACACACAUCACCACACUGGUAUAUAAACUUGCAAGUGCAUAAUGCAGCUUUACAGAGUGAACAAAAAAAAUGACAACACAAUUGGGUACAGGAUGUGGAAUGGACAAAUGCUUAAGGCUUUUUCAUGUAUUGGUAAUGAGUGUUGCAUGGUAUAUUGGUAUACAGAUGCCAAUGAUAAUAUACUGGUAAUGAAAUGAAUUUUGGUAUUAGUAUGAUGAUGGAACAAUAUGGUAGGAUGAUGGUGAAUGAAUGGUUAAUGUACUCCAGGAAGCCUUCUUUGAAAAAAUUACAAAGAUAGUAAGCCAUGGUAUACACUAAGGUAUGUGAAUGGAAUGCUAUUGUGAAAAUAACAAAAAAAAAGGGUCAUAUUCAAAUUAUGAAGUUAAACUUAUUUGUCAAGAAAAAACUUUAAAACAAUGGCCACGGCUAGUGAACAGGAAAAAAAAAAAACUUUAAAAAUAUUUUCAUUAAUAUAUUUUCUAUGAAAAUUUUGGAAACCAUGUACCAAAAAAGUUAAAACAUCUAUCACCAUGGAUCAAGCAUCAGGAAACUAAUAAAAACAUUCAAAAUGGCAAAUCAAAUGUUUCUAAAAAUUCCGAGGUUACUCAAAAAUUCUUGUCAAAAUGUUGAACUUUUGUUUCUCAAACUCUACCAGAGAGAGCAUAUCAAUUAUUCAAAAAGAUGCCAGGCUGACUAUCAUCAACCACUAAAUUCACUUCAAGUUGCAAAAUUCAUGAUGGUACAUGGUGUUCCAACUGAAAAACUGAUGCUACAACCAACCAAACAGACACAUUGAAAUGGUGCAGCAAGAUGGAUGACUCUGAAGACUAGGGACCAACCAAACAACAAACUGAGUUAGUGUGUGAUGUGUGCGGGGACUGACCAAAACCUGAUUACAGAAGAGAAUGUGGUGAAGCAAAAAUUGAAUAAUUUGUAAAGGCAGCAUGAAUUAAAAAUUUAAAAAGCAACACAGAAUGAGGUAAUUUUUAGCAUAGUUUCUUUACAUGUAUUUCUUUGCAAGUUGUUGAAUUUUUGUCUCACCACAAACUCCAUCAGAGAAGACUACAGAUCAACUACUCAAAAGGAGCCAUGCUGACGAUCAACCACUGAACCAACUCAAAAUUAGAGAAUUCAAGAUGGUACAUGGUGUUCCAACUGACCAACUGAUGCUACAACCAACUAACCAACCAAACAGACACAUGGAAAUGGUGCAGCAAGAUGGAUGCCUUUGGUGACUAGGGACCAACCGAUAAACCAGACAACAAACAGAUAUGGUGUGUGAUGUGUGAGGGGACUGUGACCAAAAUCUGAUUAGAGGACAGAAUGUGGUGAAGCAAAAAUUUGAUAAUUUGUAAAGGCAGAAUGAAUUGAAAAUUUAAAAAGCAACACAGAAUGAGGUAAUUUUGAGCAUAGUUUCUUUACAUGUAUUUCUUUGCAAGUUGUUGAAUUUUUGUCUCACCACAAACUCAACCAGAGACGACUACAGAUCAACUACUCAAAGGAAGCCAUGCUGAUGAUAAACCACUGAACCAACUCAAAAUUAGAGAAUUCAAGAUGGUACAUGGUGUUCCAACUGACCAACUGAUGCUACAACCAACCAACCAAACAGACACAUGGAAACGGUGCAGCAAGAUGGAUGCCUUUGGUGACUAGUGACCAACUGAUGGACCAACCAAUAAAGCAGACAACAAACAGAUAUGGUGUGUGAUGUGUGAGGGGACUGUGACCAAAACCUGAUUAGAGGACAGAAUGUGGUGAAGCAAAAAUUUAAUAAUUUGUAAAGGCAGCAUGAAUUGAAAAUUUAAAAAGCAACACAGAAUGAGGUAAUUUUUAGCAUAGUUUCUUUACAUGUAUUUCUUUGCAAGUUGUUGAAUUUUUGUCUCACCACAAACUCAACCAGAGACGACUACAGAUCAACUACUCAAAGGAAGCCAUGCUGAUGAUAAACCACUGAACCAACUCAAAAUUAGAGAAUUCAAGAUGGUACAUGGUGUUCCAACUGACCAACUGAUGCUACGACCAACCAACCAAACAGACACAUGGAAACGGUGCAGCAAGAUGGAUGCCUUUGGUGACUAGGGACCAACCAAUAAACCAUACAACAAACAGAUAUGGUUUGUGAUGUUUGAGGGGACUGUGACCAAAACCUGAUUAGAGGACAGAAUGUGGUGAAGCAAAAAUUUGAUAAUUUGUAAAGGCAGCAUGAAUUGAAAAUUUAAAAAGCAACACAGAAUGAGGUAAUUUUUAGCAUAGUUUCUAUACAUGUAUUUCUUUGCAAGUUGUUGAAUUUUUGUCUCACCACAAACUCCACCAGAGACAACUACAGAUCAACUACUCAAAAGAAGCCAUGCUGACUAGCAAGCACUGAACCAACUCAAAAUUUAGAGAAUUCAAGAUGGUACAUGGUGUUCCAACUGACAAACUGAUGCUACAACCAACCAACCGAACAGACACAUGGAAAUGGUGCAGCAAGAUGGAUGCCUUUGGUGACUAGGGACCAACCAAUAAACCAGACAACAAACAUAUAUGGUGUGUGAUGUGUGAGGGGACUGUGACCAAAACCUGAUUAGAGGACAGAAUGUGGUGAAGCAAAAAUUUAAUAAUUUGUAAAGGCAGCAUGAAUUGAAAAUUUAAAAAGCAACACAGAAUGAGGUAAUUUUUAGCAUAGUUUCUAUACAUGUAUUUCUUUGCAAGUUGUUGAAUUUUUGUCUCACCACAAACUCCAUCAGAGACGACUACAGAUCAACUACUCAAAAGAAGCCAUGCUGACGAUCAACCACUGAACCAACUCAAAAUUAGAGAAUUCAAGAUGGUACAUGGUGUUCCAACUGACCAACUGAUGCUACAACCAACCAACCAACCAAACAGACACAUGGAAAUGGUGCAGCAAGAUGGAUGCCUUUGGUGACUAGGGACCAGCCAAUAAACCAGACAACAAACAGAUAUGGUGUGUGAUGUGUGAGGGGACUGUGACCAAAACCUGAUUAGAGGACAGAAUGUGGUGAAGCAAAAAUUAGAUAAUUUGUAAAGGCAGCAUGAAUUGAAAAUUUAAAAAGCAACACAGAAUGAGGUAAUUUUUAGCAUAGUUUCUUUACAUGUAUUUCUUUGCAAGUUGUUGAAUUUUUGUCUCACCACAAACUCCAUCAGAGACGACUACAGAUCAACUACUCAAAAGAAGCCAUGCUGACGAUCAACCACUGAACCAACUCAAAAUUAGAGAAUUCAAGAUGGUACAUGGUGUUCCAACUGACCAACUGAUGCUACAACCAACCAACCAAACAGACACAUGGAAAUGGUGCAGCAAGAUGGAUGCCUUUGGUGACUAGGGACCAACCGAUAAACCAGACAACAAACAGAUAUGGUGUGUGAUGUGUGAGGGGACUGUGACCAAAACCUGAUUAGAGGACAGAAUGUGGUGAAGCAAAAAUUUGAUAAUUUGUAAAGGCAGCAUGAAUUGAAAAUUUAAAAAGCAACACAGAAUGAGGUAAUUUUUAGCAUAGUUUCUAUACAUGUUUUUCUUUGCAAGUUGUUGAAUUUUUGUCUCACCACAAACUCCACCAGAGACAACUACAGAUCAACUACUCAAAAGAAGCCAUGCUGACUAGCAAGCACUGAACCAACUCAAAAUUUAGAGAAUUCAAGAUGGUACAUGGUGUUCCAACUGACAAACUGAUGCUACAACCAACCAACCGAACAGACACAUGGAAAUGGUGCAGCAAGAUGGAUGCCUUUGGUGACUAGGGACCAACCAAUAAACCAGACAACAAACAUAUAUGGUGUGUGAUGUGUGAGGGGACUGUGACCAAAACCUGAUUAGAGGACAGAAUGUGGUGAAGCAAAAAUUUAAUAAUUUGUAAAGGCAGCAUGAAUUGAAAAUUUAAAAAGCAACACAGAAUGAGGUAAUUUUUAGCAUAGUUUCUCUACAUGUAUUUCUUUGCAAGUUGUUGAAUUUUUGUCUCACCACAAACUCCAUCAGAGACGACUACAGAUCAACUACUCAAAAGAAGCCAUGCUGACGAUCAACCACUGAACCAACUCAAAAUUAGAGAAUUCAAGAUGGUACAUGGUGUUCCAACUGACCAACUGAUGCUACAACCAACCAACCAAACAGACACAUGGAAAUGGUGCAGCAAGAUGGAUGCCUUUGGUGACUAGGGACCAACCGAUAAACCACACAACAAACAGAUAUGGUGUGUGAUGUGUGAGGGGACUGUGACCAAAACCUGAUUAGAGGACAGAAUGUGGUGAAGCAAAAAUUUGAUAAUUUGUAAAGGCAGCAUGAAUUGAAAAUUUAAAAAGCAACACAGAAUGAGGUAAUUUUUAGCAUAGUUUCUAUACAUGUUUUUCUUUGCAAGUUGUUGAAUUUUUGUCUCACCACAAACUCCACCAGAGACAACUACAGAUCAACUACUCAAAAGAAGCCAUGCUGACUAGCAAGCACUGAACCAACUCAAAAUUUAGAGAAUUCAAGAUGGUACAUGGUGUUCCAACUGACAAACUGAUGCUACAACCAACCAACCGAACAGACACAUGGAAAUGGUGCAGCAAGAUGGAUGCCUUUGGUGACUAGGGACCAACCAAUAAACCAGACAACAAACAUAUAUGGUGUGUGAUGUGUGAGGGGACUGUGACCAAAACCUGAUUAGAGGACAGAAUGUGGUGAAGCAAAAAUUUAAUAAUUUGUAAAGGCAGCAUGAAUUGAAAAUUUAAAAAGCAACACAGAAUGAGGUAAUUUUUAGCAUAGUUUCUUUACAUGUAUUUCUUUGCAAGUGAUUGAAUUUUUGUCUCACCACAAACUCAACCAGAGACGACUACAGAUCAACUACUCAAAGGAAGCCAUGCUGAUGAUAAACCACUGAACCAACUCAAAAUUAGAGAAUUCAAGAUGGUACAUGGUGUUCCAACUGACCAACUGAUGCUACAACCAACCAACCAAACAGACACAUGGAAACGGUGCUGCAAGAUGGAUGCCUUUGGUGACUAGGGACCAACAAAUAUGGUGUGUGAUGUGUGAGGGGACUGUGACCAAAACCUGAUUAGAGGACAGAAUGUGGUGAAGCAAAAAUUUAAUAAUUUGUAAAGGCAGCAUGAAUUGAAAAUUUAAAAUGCAAUACAGAAUGAUGUAAUUUUUAGCAUAGUUUCUUUACAUGUAUUUCUUUGCAAGUUGUUGAAUUUUUGUCUCACCACAAACUCCACCAGAGACGGCUACAGAUCAACUACUCAAAGGAAGCCAUGCUGAUGAUAAACCACUGAACCAACUCAAAAUUAGAGAAUUCAAGAUGGUACAUGGUGUUCCAACUGACCAACUGAUGCUAUGACCAACCAACCAAACAGACUUAUGGAAAUGGUGCAGCAAGAUGGAUGCCUUUGGUGACUAGGGACCAACUGAUGGACCAACCAAUAAACUAGACAACAAACAGAUAUGGUGUGUGAUGUGUGAGGGGACUGUGACCAAAACCUGAUUAGAGGACAGAAUGUGGUGAAGCAAAAAUUUGAUAAUUUGUAAAGGCAGCCUGAAUUGAAAAUUUAAAAAGCAACACAGAAUGAGGUAAUUUUUAGCAUAGUUUCUUUACAUGUAUUUCUUUGCAAGUUGUUGAAUUUUUGUCUCACCACAAACUCCAUCAGAGACGACUACAGAUCAACUACUCAAAAGAAGCCAUGCUGACGAUCAACCACUGAACAAACUCAAAAUUAGAGAAUUCAAGAUGGUACAUGGUGUUCCAACUGACCAACUGAUGCUACAACCAACCAACCAAACAGACACAUGGAAAUGGUGCAGCAAGAUGGAUGCCUUUGGUGACUAGGGACCAACCGAUAAACCAGACAACAAACAGAUAUGGUGUGUGAUGUGUGAGGGGACUGUGACCAAAACCGGAUUAGAGGACAGAAUGUGGUGAAGCAAAAAUUUGAUAAUUUGUAAAGGCAGCAUGAAUUGAAAAUUUAAAAAGCAACACAGAAUGAGGUAAUUUUUAGCAUAGUUUUAUACAUGUUUUUCUUUGCAAGUUGUUGAAUUUUUGUCUCACCACAAACUCCACCAGAGACAACUACAGAUCAGCUACUCAAAAGAAGCCAUGCUGACUAGCAAGCACUGAACCAACUCAAAAUUAGAGAAUUUAAGAUGGUACAUGGUGUUCCAACUGACCAACUGAUGCUACAACCAACCAACCAAACAGACACAUGGAAACGGUGCAGGAAGAUGGAUGCCUUUGGUGACUAGGGACCAACAGAUGAACCAGACAACAAACAGAUAUGGUGUGUGAUGUGUGAGGGGACUGUGACCAAAACCUGAUUAGAGGACAGAAUGUGGUGAAGCAAAAAUUCGAUAAUUGGUAAAGGCAGCAUGAAUUGAAAAUUUAAAAAGCAACACAGAAUGAAGUAAUUUUUAGCAUAGUUUCUUUACAUGUAUUUCUUUGCAAGUUGUUGAAUUUUUGUCUCACCACAAACUCAACCAGAGACGACUACAGAUCAACUACUCAAAGGAAGCCAUGCUGAUGAUAAACCACUCAACCAACUCAAAAUUAGAGAAUUCAAGAUGGUACAUGGUGUUCCAACUGACCAACUGAUGCUACAACCAACCAACCAACCAAACAGACACAUGGAAACGGUGCAGCAAGAUGGAUGCCUUUGGUGACUAGGGACCAGCCAAUAAACCAGACAACAAACAGAUAUGGUGUGUGAUGUGUGAGGGGACUGUGACCAAAACCUGAUUAGAGGACAGAAUGUGGUGAAGCAAAAAUUUGAUAAUUUGUAAAGGCAGCAUGAAUUGAAAAUUUAAAAAGCAACACAGAAUGAGGUAAUUUUUAGCAUAGUUUCUUUACAUGUAUUUCUUUGCAAGUUGUUGAAUUUUUGUCUCACCACAAACUCCAUCAGAGACGACUACAGAUCAACUACUCAAAAGAAGCCAUGCUGACGAUCAACCACUGAACCAACUCAAAAUUAGAGAAUUUAAGAUGGUACAUGGUGUUCCAACUGACCAACUGAUGCUACAACCAACCAACCAAACAGACACAUGGAAACGGUGCAGCAAGAUGGAUGCCUUUGGUGACUAGGGACCAACAGAUAAACCAGACAACAAACAGAUAUGGUGUGUGAUGUGUGAGGGGACUGUGACCAAAACCUGAUUAGAGGACAGAACGUGGUGAAGCAAAAAUUUAAUAAUUUGUAAAGGCAGCAUGAAUUGAAAAUUUAAAAUGCAAUACAGAAUGAUGUAAUUUUUAGCAUAGUUUCUUUACAUGUAUUUCUUUGCAAGUUGUUGAAUUUUUGUCUCGCCACAAAAUCCACCAGAGACGGCUACAGAUCAACUACUCAAAGAAAGCCAUGCUGAUGAUAAACCACUGAACCAACUCAAAAUUAGAGAAUUCAAGAUGGUACAUGGUGUUCCAACUGACCAACUGAUGCUAUGACCAACCAACCAACCAAACUUAUGGAAAUGGUGCAGCAAGAUGGAUGCCUUUGGUGACUAGGGACCAACUGAUGGACCAACCAAUAAACUAGACAACAAACAGAUAUGGUGUGUGAUGUGUGAGGGGACUGUGACCAAAACCUGAUUAGAGAACAGAAUGUGGUGAAGCAAAAAAUUGAUAAUUUGUAAAGGCAGCAUGAAUUGAAAAUUUAAAAAGCAACACAGAAUGAGGUAAUUUUUAGCAUAGUUUCUUUACAUGUAUUUCUUUGCAAGUUGUUGAAUUUUUGUCUCACCACAAACUCCAUCAGAGACGACUACAGAUCAACUACUCAAAAGAAGCCAUGCUGACGAUCAACCACUGAACCAACUCAAAAUUAGAGAAUUCAAGAUGGUACAUGGUGUUCCAACUGACCAACUGAUGCUACAACCAACCAACCAAACAGACACAUGGAAAUGGUGCAGCAAGAUGGAUGCCUUUGGUGACUAGGGACCAACCGAUAAACCAGACAACAAACAGAUAUGGUGUGUGAUGUGUGAGGGGACUGUGACCAAAACCUGAUUAGAGGACAGAAUGUGGUGAAGCAAAAAUUUGAUAAUUUGUAAAGGCAGCAUGAAUUGAAAAUUUAAAAAGCAACACAGAAUGAGGUAAUUUUUAGCAUAGUUUCUUUACAUGUAUUUCUUUGCAAGUUGUUGAAUUUUUGUCUCACCACAAACUCCAUCAGAGACGACUACAGAUCAACUACUCAAAAGAAGCCAUGCUGACGAUCAACCACUGAACCAACUCAAAAUUAGAGAAUUUAAGAUGGUACAUGGUGUUCCAACUGACCAACUGAUGCUACAACCAACCAACCAAACAGACACAUGGAAACGGUGCAGCAAGAUGGAUGCCUUUGGUGACUAGGGACCAACCGAUAAACCAGACAACAAACAGAUAUGGUGUGUGAUGUGUGAGGGGACUGUGACCAAAACCUGAUUAGAGGACAGAACGUGGUGAAGCAAAAAUUUAAUAAUUUGUAAAGGCAGCAUGAAUUGAAAAUUUAAAAUGCAAUACAGAAUGAUGUAAUUUUUAGCAUAGUUUCUUUACAUGUAUUUCUUUGCAAGUUGUUGAAUUUUUGUCUCGCCACAAAAUCCACCAGAGACGGCUACAGAUCAACUACUCAAAGAAAGCCAUGCUGAUGAUAAACCACUGAACCAACUCAAAAUUAGAGAAUUCAAGAUGGUACAUGGUGUUCCAACUGACCAACUGAUGCUAUGACCAACCAACCAAACAGACUUAUGGAAAUGGUGCAACAAGAUGGAUGCCUUUGGUGACUAGGGACCAACUGAUGGACCAACCAAUAAACUAGACAACAAACAGAUAUGGUGUGUGAUGUGUGAGGGGACUGUGACCAAAACCUGAUUAGAGAACAGAAUGUGGUGAAGCAAAAAAUUGAUAAUUUGUAAAGGCAGCAUGAAUUGAAAAUUUAAAAAGCAACACAGAAUGAGGUAAUUUUUAGCAUAGUUUCUUUACAUGUAUUUCUUUGCAAGUUGUUGAAUUUUUGUCUCACCACAAACUCCAUCAGAGACGACUACAGAUCAACUACUCAAAAGAAGCCAUGCUGACGAUCAACCACUGAACCAACUCAAAAUUAGAGAAUUCAAGAUGGUACAUGGUGUUCCAACUGACCAACUGAUGCUACAACCAACCAACCAAACAGACACAUGGAAAUGGUGCAGCAAGAUGGAUGCCUUUGGUGACUAGGGACCAACCGAUAAACCAGACAACAAACAGAUAUGGUGUGUGAUGUGUGAGGGGACUGUGACCAAAACCUGAUUAGAGGACAGAAUGUGGUGAAGCAAAAAUUUGAUAAUUUGUAAAGGCAGCAUGAAUUGAAAAUUUAAAAAGCAACACAGAAUGAGGUAAUUUUUAGCAUAGUUUCUAUACAUGUUUUUCUUUGCAAGUUGUUGAAUUUUUGUCUCACCACAAACUCCACCAGAGACAACUACAGAUCAACUACUCAAAAGAAGCCAUGCUGACGAUCAACCACUGAACCAACUCAAAAUUAGAGAAUUCAAGAUGGUACAUGGUGUUCCAACUGACCAACUGAUGCUACAACCAACCAACCAAACAGACACAUGGAAACGGUGCAGCAAGAUGGAUGCCUUUGGUGACUAGGGACCAACAGAUAAACCAGACAACAAACAGAUAUGGUGUGUGAUGUGUGAGGGGACUGUGACCAAAACCUGAUUAGAGGACAGAACGUGGUGAAGCAAAAAUUUAAUAAUUUGUAAAGGCAGCAUGAAUUGAAAAUUUAAAAUGCAAUACAGAAUGAGGUAAUUUUUAGCAUAGUUUCUUUACAUGUAUUUCUUUGCAAUUGUUGAAUUUUUGUCUCACCACAAACUCCACCAGAGACGGCUACAGAUCAACUACUCAAAGGAAGCCAUGCUGAUGAUAAACCACUGAACCAACUCAAAAUUAGAGAAUUCAAGAUGGUACAUGGUGUUCCAACUGACCAAGUGAUGCUAUGACCAACCAACCAAACAGACUUAUGGAAAUGGUGCAGCAAGAUGGAUGCCUUUGGUGACUAGGGACCAACUGAUGGACCAACCAAUAAACUAGACAACAAACAGAUAUGGUGUGUGAUGUGUGAGGGGACUGUGACCAAAACCUGAUUAGAGGACAGAAUGUGGUGAAGCAAAAAUUUGAUAAUUUGUAAAGGCAGCAUGAAUUGAAAAUUUAAAAAGCAACACAGAAUGAGGUAAUUUUUAGCAUAGUUUCUUUACAUGUAUUUCUUUGCAAGUUGUUGAAUUUUUGUCUCACCACAAACUCCAUCAGAGACGACUACAGAUCAACUACUCAAAAGAAGCCUUGCUGACGAUCAACCACUGAACCAACUCAAAAUUAGAGAAUUCAAGAUGGUACAUGGUGUUCCAACUGACCAACUGAUGCUACUACCAACCAACCAAACAGACACAUGGAAACGGUGCAGCAAGAUGGAUGCCUUUGGUGACUAGGGACCAACCGAUAAACCAGACAACAAACAGAUAUGGUGUGUGAUGUGUGAGGGGACUGUGACCAAAACCUGAUUAGAGGACAGAAUGUGGUGAAGCAAAAAUUUGAUAAUUUGUAAAGGCAGCAUGAAUUGAAAAUUUAAAAAGCAACACAGAAUGAGGUAAUUUUUAGCAUAGUUUCUAUACAUGUUUUUCUUUGCAAGUUGUUGAAUUUUUGUCUCACCACAAACUCCACCAGAGACAACUACAGAUCAACUACUCAAAAGAAGCCAUGCUGACCUGCAAGCACUGAACCAACUCAAAAUUAGAGAAUUUAAAAUGGUACAUGGUGUUCCAACUGACCAACUGAUGCUACAACCAACCAACCAAACAAACAGACACAUGGAAACGGUGCAGCAAGAUGGAUGCCUUUGGUGACUAGGGACCAACUGAUAAACCAAACAACAAACAGAUAUGGUGUGUGAUGUGUGAGGGGACUGUGACCAAAACCUGAUUAGAGGACAGAAUGUGGUGAAGCAAAAAUUUGAUAAUUUGUAAAGGCAGCAUGAAUUGAAAAUUUAAAAAGCAACACAGAAUGAGGUAAUUUUUAGCAUAGUUUCUUUACAUGUAUUUCUUUGCAAGUUGUUGAAUUUUUGUCUCAUCACAAACUCAACCAGAGACGACUACAGAUCAACUACUCAAAAGAAGCCAUGCUGAUGAUAAACCACUGAACCAACUCAAAAUUAGAGAAUUCAAGAUGGUACAUGGUGUUCCAACUAACCAACUGAUGCUACGACCAAGCAACCAAACAGACACAUGGAAAUGGUGCAGCAAGAUGGAUGCCUUUGGUGACUAGGGACCAACUGAUGGACCAACCAAUAAACCAGACAACAAACAGAUAUGGUGUGUGAUGUGUGAGGGGACUGUGACCAAAACCUGAUUAGAGGACAGAACGUGGUGAAGCAAAAAUUUAAUAAUUUGUAAAGGCAGCAUGAAUUGAAAAUUUAAAAUGCAAUACAGAAUGAGGUAAUUUUUAGCAUAGUUUCUUUACAUGUAUUUCUUUGCAAGUUGUUGAAUUUUUGUCUCAUCACAAACUCAACCAGAGACGACUACAGAUCAACUACUCAAAAGAAGCCAUGCUGAUGAUAAACCACUGAACCAACUCUAAAUUAGAGAAUUCAAGAUGGUACAUGGUGUUCCAACUGACCAACUGAUGCUACAACCAACCAACCAAACAGACACAUGGAAAUGGUGCAGCAAGAUGGAUGCCUUUGGUGACUAGGGACCAACCGAUAAACCAGACAACAAACAGAUAUGGUGUGUGAUGUGUGAGGGGACUGUGACCAAAACCUGAUUAGAGGACAGAAUGUGGUGAAGCAAAAAUUUGAUAAUUUGUAAAGGCAGCAUGAAUUGAAAAUUUAAAAAGCAACACAGAAUGAGGUAAUUUUGAGCAUAGUUUCUCUACAUGUAUUUCUUUGCAAGUUGUUGAAUUUUUGUCUCGCCACAAACUCCACCAGAGACGACUACAGAUCAACUACUCAAAAGAAGCCAUCUGCCUAGCAACCACUGAACCAACUCAAAAUCAGAGAAUUCAAGAUGGUACAUGGUGUUCCAACUGACCAACUGAUGCUACAACCAACCAACCAAACAGACACAUGGAAAUGGUGCAGCAAGAUGGAUGACUUCGGUGACUAGGAACUAACUGAUGAACCUACCAAUUAAGCAGACAGAUAUGUCUGGUUGCACUUGGAUGAGAUCAGACGUUUCAACAUGUCCAUUUUGCCCUUGCAUGGAUUUUUCCAUUGAUGAUAGCUACAUCUUUCCUCGUACAUGGACUAGGUGAACAGACUGGUUACAGUUAAUUUAUGGCUAUAACUAAGAAGUACUGUGUUAAUAACAGUUGACAGCAUUUAAUCAGACAUUCCAUCUAAUAAUAUGAACACAAAAAACACAGAACUCCAAUUUUUAUGUUGAUAUUUUUGGGAAGAUUGUGUAUUGAUUAUAAACUUAUGAAGGAUUACUGUGUAUUGUUUAUAAGCAAAUGAAGAAUAAAUCAAUGUUCUGUUUUAUAAUGGUGUUAUGAUGUUUAAUAAUAGUUAAAACUCUUAAUACCUCUCAUAAAACUAAGAGGGAUAUUAAAACUUCUGAAAGUAAUACUAUAUUUAAAAUAAAUACACAAUUAUUUUACAUGGGUUGCCUACUCAAAUAUUUGUUUAAGGGAAAUGAACACGAUAUUUUUUCAAUACACAAAAUUGGAUUGUUGCAAUAUAAUGUUGAGCUUGUUUCAUUAUGAAAUCAUAAUUGUAUACUUCGACACACACACAAAAUGUAUGUCUAACCUAUUAUGGGCUAUAACUCAAUAGGCUUUUGAUAUCUGAAAAAAACAACUGCAUGCUCUUACCAAACUUUGAAUAAAAGGAUGGUAUCUGGUAUACAUUAAUGAGAUGGCAACCCAACAACACAAAAUACAAGAGAUCAGCACACAUUCUUCAACAAUAGACAAAUACCUGAACAAUAUGACAAGAUCUUAAUUGCCCAAGCAGGGCCUAAUCUAGGAUUUUGGAGAGGGAGAAGUGACUUCUCCUUCCAUGAGAGAGAAUGGAGAAGUGAGAUUCCAUUACCGUUUCGGUUGCAUAGUGUUCUCGUGCUUAUCACUAAGGAAAUUGUUUUAUAUGCAAUAAAAAAUAUACUUGCAGUUUUUUUCAUGUUAUUGUACAAAAUGUAUAUAAAGAAAGUUCUUAACAAAAAGGUUUAGACAAUAUAGUUGUUAUUUAUUCAUUGAUACCAUUUGUACUGUCAACUUGAAUUUAAGUUUAAAUAAAAGUUGUUGCUUGGGACAUGAGGGAGUCUCGAGGGAGUAGCCUAGUAAUAUUAUGAUGCAUUAAAUUCAUGUGCAUCUGCCUCAAUUUAUUUUUAAAUGUCCAGAAAAAUAUGACUCCCAGUUUACCUGAUGAAUUUCACAUGACUGGGAAUUUAAUUUAUAUCACCACUUUGUCAUUAUUUUGUAAAACAUUAUUGUAUGUCCAGGACAUCAUAUUACAUGUAGUUGUAAAUUGAGAUUCUUGUUAAAGAUUGUAAGCCUAUAAAUGAAAAUAUCUGUCAAUCACAUAUUAAUUAACCGAUAAACAGCUAAUUUCUAUCAUUUUUUAAAGAUAUCUUCCCUAUCAACGAAAUGGUCUUGAAAAAAAAUCCACUGCUGAUAACAGCUGGUCGAGUGUCGUACGUUUGCAAUCACAUUAUCUAUCAGCUGUCUUUCUACCUUUUAUAUUUCAAUUUUUAUUCAAUGAAUAUAAUAAAUCUACCGUUAAUUCCCACCCUUUACCUACCGAAUAGUACAAUUUGAUCUACUCGUAAUAAAUAAAAAUAAAACAAAUCAGCUGAGUGAUUACGCAACAUCCUCAGAUAAAAAUCAUCGUAAAAUGAUAACUUCAACAGUUUUCCGUUUGAAUAGUUUUUAUACGACCGCAAAAAAAUUUUUGUGGUCGUAUAUUGGUAUGACGUUGGCGUCGUCGUCGUCCGAAGACACAUUGGUUUUCGCACUUAACUUUAGUUUAAGUGAAUGGAUCUUUAUGAAAUUUUACCACAAGGUUCAAUACCACAAAAGGAAGGUUGGGAUUGAUUUUGGGGGUUAUGGUAAUAACAGUAAAGGAAUUAGGGGUCAAAAAGGGGCCAAAAAUAAGCAUUUUUGUAACUUCCAGACAUAACUUGUGUGUUAGUGUAUGGAUCUCUCUGACAUUGUACCACAAGGUUCCAUAUCACUAAAGGAAUGCUGGGAUUGAUUUUGGGGGUAAUUGCCUCCAAAUUUUAGGAAUUGGGGGCCAAAAAAGGGGCAAAAAACAAGCAUUUUUCUAGUUUCAUGACAAUAACUUGAGUGUAAGUGUAUGGAUCUUUCUGAAAUUGUACUACAAGGUUCUAUAUCACAAAGGGAAAGCUGGAAUUGAGUUUGGGGGUAAUUGCCCAAAACGUUUAGGAAUAAGGGGCCAAAAAUAAGCAUUUUUCUAGUUUCCAGACAAUAACUUGUGUUCAAGUGUAUGGAUCUCUCUGAAAUUGUACUGCAAGGUACCAUACCACAAAGGGAAGGCUGGGAUUGAUUUUGGGGGUAAUUGCCUCAAAAUUUUAGGAAUAAGGGGCCAAAAAGGGGCAAAAAAAUGCAUUUUUAUAGUUUCAGGACAAUAACUUGUGUGUAAGUGUAUGGAUCUUUAUGAAAUUGUACUACAAGGUUCCAUAUCACAAAGGGAAUGCUGGGAUUGAUUUUGGGGGUAAUUGCCUCAAAAUUUUAGGAAUUUGGGGCCAAAAAGGGGCCAAAAAAACAAGCAUUUUUCUAGUUUCCAGACAAUAACUUGUGUUCAAGUGUAUGGAUCUCUCUGAAAUUGUACUGCAAGGUACCAUACCAUAAAGGGAAGGCUGGGAUUGAGUUUGGGGGUGAUGAAUCAUAA